rnacentral:rRNA from 1 species
CGGCAGCACGGGCUUCGGCCUGGUGGCGAGUGGCGAACGGGUGAGUAAUAUAUCGGAACGUACCCAGAAGUGGGGGAUAACGUAGCGAAAGUUACGCUAAUACCGCAUACGAUCUACGGAUGAAAGUGGGGGAUCGCAAGACCUCAUGCUUUUGGAGCGGCCGAUAUCUGAUUAGCUAGUUGGUAGGGUAAAGGCCUACCUAGGCGACGAUCAGUAGCUGGUCUGAGAGGACGACCAGCCACACUGGAACUGAGACACGGUCCAGACUCCUACGGGAGGCAGCAGUGGGGAAUUUUGGACAAUGGGCGCAAGCCUGAUCCAGCAAUGCCGCGUGAGUGAAGAAGGCCUUCGGGUUGUAAAGCUCUUUUGUCAGGGAAGAAACGGCUGAGGCUAAUAUCUUCGGCUAAUGACGGUACCUGAAGAAUAAGCACCGGCUAACUACGUGCCAGCAGCCGCGGUAAUACGUAGGGUGCAAGCGUUAAUCGGAAUUACUGGGCGUAAAGCGUGCGCAGGCGGUUUUGUAAGUCUGACGUGAAAUCCCCGGGCUCAACCUGGGAAUUGCGUUGGAGACUGCAAGGCUGGAGUCUGGCAGAGGGGGGUAGAAUUCCACGUGUAGCAGUGAAAUGCGUAGAGAUGUGGAGGAACACCGAUGGCGAAGGCAGCCCCCUGGGUCAAGACUGACGCUCAUGCACGAAAGCGUGGGGAGCAAACAGGA